ACCUGGCUCACACCGGUUUAAACUCAGAUCAUGUAAAAUUUUAAAGGUCGAACAGACCUAACUUUAUCAGCUCCUACACCAACAAUUAAUUUUAAUCCAACAUCGAGGUCGCAAUCUUUCUCUUCGAUAAGAACUCUAGAAAAAAUUACGCUGUUAUCCCUAAGGUAAUUUAAUCUUACAAUCUAAAUUUCAGGAUCAUAAAUAUAUAAAUAAAUACUUCUAUAAAAAAAAAGUUAAUCUAAUUUUUCUAUCACCCCAACAAAAUACCUAUAAACAACCCCUAAACAAGCAAUCCUAAAAUUCAAGCAAUAAUAUAGAUAUAAAACUCUAUAGGGUCUUCUCGUCUUCUAUGAAAAUUUAAGCUUUCUCACUUAAAAAUAAAAUUCUAAUAAAUUCUUUAAAGACAGUAACUUUUUCAUCAAACCCUUCAUACAAGCUUUCAAUUAAAAAACUAGUGAUUAUGCUACCUUUGCACGGUCAAAAUACCGCGGCCAUUUAAACACUCAGUGGGCAGGCCUGACCUGAAAUUAUAAUCAACAAGCC
rnacentral:rRNA from 1 species